AAGGCCCUCUGGAAGCCUCCUCUAAUGUUGCCAUGAUAGAAAGUGACCCGCUGUUUCUCUUUUUAGGACCAAACCCAUUGAAUUUUCUGCUAACUAAGCGUCGGACGUUUCCAUGUUGGAUCCUGUUCAUCAACAUGAUGAAGGAGCAGGGUUUCCCCUCGCGUCGACUUCCUCCCACGCCGAGCGGAAAGAGAAACUGGUUCCUCUGCAGACCCCGAGAGAGACGAGCUGCAGACCACGGAGCAUCACGGCGCAUCACGGCGCAUCACGGCGCUCACUUUCCAGACGGCUGACGGGGAAGCGAGCGAACGGGAGACGGCUGGACAGGAACUUUAAAUGUUGUGUGUGUUUAUGUUUCCUACAUAAAGCUACUCCAUGAUAAUGUCUCUGUUCAUGCAGAGUAACUGUGCAUGCAGAUGAGCUCUGUGAUGAUUAUUUGCAGUCGUGCAUGCGGCUAACGCUACGGCCAAACGGGCCGUUCAAUAACGGUACGUCAUGGCUAACGGUCCCGUCUGUGUAACGGCUGGACGUGCAGACAGGCCCUGAACUCUACCUGUAACAUGUUAUCUCAUUAAAACCCUGUUUUCAA